AUUGAACGCUGGCGGCAGGCCUAACACAUGCAAGUCGAACGAGUGGCGGACGGGUGAGUAAUGUAUGGGGAUCUGCCCGAUAGAGGGGGAUAACUACUGGAAACGGUAGCUAAUACCGCAUACUAUCGGAUGUACCCAUAUGGGAUUAGCUAGUAGGUGGGGUAACGGCUCACCUAGGCGACGAUCUCUAGCUGGUCUGAGAGGAUGACCAGCCACAAUGGAACGGAGACACGGGCCCGACUCCUACGGGAGGCAGCAGUGGGGAAUAUUGCACAAUGGGCGCAAGCCUGAUGCAGCCAUGCCGAGUGUAUGAAGAAGGCCUUAGGGUUGUAAAGUACGUGCAGCGGGGAGGCGUUACCCGCAUAAGAAGCACCGGCUAACUCCGUGCCAGCCGCCGCGGUAAUAC
rnacentral:rRNA from 1 species